rnacentral:rRNA from 1 species
UGGGGAAUUUUGCACAAUGGGGGAAACCCUGAUGCAGCGACGCCGCGUGAUUUAGAAGGCCUUCGGGUUGUAAAAAUCUUUUCUAUGGGAAGAAAAUGACAGUACCAUAGGAAUAAGGACCGGAUAAUUACGUGCCAGCAGCUGCGGUAAUACGUAAGGUCCGAGCGUUGUCCGGAAUCAUUGGGCGUAAAGGGUACGUAGGCGGGUAAGCAAGUUAGAAGUGAAAUCCUAUAGCUCAACUAUAGUAAGCUUUUAAAACUGCUCAUCUUGAGGUAUGGAAGGGAAAGUGGAAUUCCGAGUGUAGCGGUGAAAUGCGCAGAUAUUAGGAGGAAUACCGGUGGCGAAGGCGACUUUCUGGCCAUAACCUGACGCUGAGGUACGAAAGCGUGGGUAGCAAACAGG